rnacentral:tRNA from 1 species
AAUGAAGUGCCUGAAAAAGGAUUACUUUGAUAGAGUAAAUUAUGUAGCUGUUUACCUUCAUUA